rnacentral:rRNA from 1 species
AGCAGCCGCGGUAAUUCCAGCUCCAAUAGCGUAUAUUAAAGUUGUUGCAGUUAAAAAGCUCGUAGUUGAAUUUCGGGAUUGGCGCAUCGGUCGUGCCUCACGGGGUAUGAACUGGUGCAGUCAAUUUCUCACCUUCUGGAGAACCGCGAUGUCCUUAAUUGGAUGCCGCGGGGAACCAGGACCUUUACUUUGAAAAAUUAGAGUGUUUAAAGCAGGCAUUUUUGCUUGAAUACAUUAGCAUGGAAUAAUAAAAUAGGACGGCAUGGUUCUAUUUUGUUGGUUUCUAGGUACCACCGUAAUGAUUAAUAGGGAUAGUUGGGGGCAUUAGUAUUCAAUUGUCAGAGGUGAAAUUCUUGGAUUUAUUGAAGACUAACUACUGCGAAAGCAUUUGCCAAGGAUGUUUUCAUUAAUCAAGAACGAAAGUUAGGGGAUCGAAGACGAUCAGAUACCGU